ensembl:lncRNA
CUAUUAUUCACACCAUAAACAUCUGCAUUGUAAACGUCAGAUGUACUGAUUGUCAUGGUUUGGGUAUUAAGUGAAUGUGCUCAACGUUGCUCUUUUGAAUUAAAAUAUACGUCUCGUUUUCCAGUAAUAUCUCAAAUUGCAUCUGGCUUUAUUUUCUGAGCAGGCACCGGGGCUUUCUCACCUAUCUCCUCUACUGUUUUUCGGGUUGUUUUCUUUUUUGUUUUGUUUUUAUGCUCUGGAAAAGCCUUCUUGCAAUCCUUUCCUGCCGCAGCUUUUGGCUGCAGGGACACAGAGGAGGAAGGUGAGCUGAGCCCCAGCCCUGUGCUGCAGGCAGAGCCGAACAGAGCGGAAAGGGGAGAGACAGAGCAGAGGAGCAGAGAAAGUGGGAAUGCACAGCUUUCUGGGAUCUGCUUAAAGGUCAGCAAUAAUAUUCUUACAUUCCCAGCUAUGUGUUACAAUAAGGUAACACUCCAGUGACAUGGGUCAAAGGAAAACCAUAGCAGUGGAUUUGGCAUUAGACAAGGACUCCUUUCUGCUGCCAUGAAGGUAAGAGCAGGCGUCCCAGUGCUACUGGCCAAUCCUGACCUACACGUCCUGGGGCACAGCAGGGUGAAGAGGAUGCAAAGACCAAGAACGGCAGCACUAAAUCAGCAGUAACUUGACUGAAAAAAUGACUUCUGGUUAUUCAAGAAGAAAAUCACUCCAGUUUGCAAUCCAAGUCCAGGGAAGAGCACACAGACCAGAGUUUGUGCUCCAGGAAAAGAGGUUGGACAACGGCUUUCCAUCAUUAAGCUUUUCCCCCAAGUUCCUUUGAUACCUUCCAUGCAGAGCAGCCAGGAGAUGCAGCAGCUCCCUCACCCUGACACCUUUGCAUAAUUCUCGCCUCCAAAAUUUCCUCCAAUAGAAAAUCCAAGUGCUCAGCCCUCCCAGCCCAGCACAUAUGCUGCUGUAACUGUUUCCAGCCUGUUUCUGCAACAGGAGGGACAAGAACAUGAAAUCUAACCACCAAGUGCCUCAAAAGGGUUUGGACUGGUCCAGGCUUCAAACUGCUUACUGUAGGAACAAGGAGGACAACAACCAUAGAUCUACAUUUGUUGUCCACAGGAGAGAAAAUGUUGCACCACUUGCUCCAAGGCACAGCUCGUGCAAGCAAUGAAAAAACUAUGCUCCCUUCAGCAAGAAACCUCCUAGGAAAGCACAAAGCCCUACCAGCUCAUGUUUCAGGAGGCCAGACGAACAAAAGGCUUAGCAGAGGUAAUUACCUGGAGCUUUGGCAGAGUGGGGCCGUGCUUGCUUGCACACAGGCACUGUGCAGCCCUGCCUGCUCUCAGCGCCCAGCUCAGCGUGGCUUUGAAAUUGCAAUGUGCUUCAGCUGGACUGGCUUUGGGGGAAGGAAGGCUCAGUCAACACCGCAGCGCACGUGGCUGGGAAAGCUUUUUCUGUGGUGGUUGGUUUGGUCCUAAUUUGUCAGUAAAGCAAAGUAGGUCAGGUAGGGGGAAGAGUAACUCCCCGCUCCGGGCAGCUGGAAAAUGUCAGGUUGGGAAAAGUAUAAUGCAGGAAGUUCCUAGAAUUUGGGGGCUGGAAUUAGGUGAUCUCUGAGGUCCCUUCCAACCUAAGCCAUUCUAUGACUUAUCCGGAAACCCUGAAAGCAAAAUGUUGGGAUGCCAUGCUGGGUGUCCCAUGAAGAGGAGCCAGGAGCAGAUGACCUUAGUGCUGCGAAAAUGAAGUCAUGACAUGGUGGCUGACCCCUGACAGCCUGCUGCCUACCUGUCCCCAACAUACCAUUAAUAAUUUGAGCACCAAAACUCAGCCACAUAAUUAGCAAAAGAAACUGAGGGCUCCUGCUGCAAGGCUCGGAUUAAAUUAGCCAUUUAUGGAUUUCUGAAAGAAAGGAGACUAAAAUGUUUUAUAGUGUAGUUAAAAGAUCCAUUGAAUGAUUCCCUCAUGUUGAACAUUUCCUAAUGUCAGAAGGAGGGUGGAUGACAUAGAAAUCAUAAAUCCAAUCGAGAAGUGUUAAAAAUCACUUUACUCUGCCAACUUACUAGAAAUUCAAUAAAACGGUAUGGGAGA